rnacentral:rRNA from 1 species
CCCUUAGAUGUCCUGGGCCGCACGCGCGCUACACUGAGUGUCUGAGAUACGAGUCUGCCUGGUCCGGCAAGGUCUAGGUAAUCGCUAAAAGACACAUCAUGCUUGGGAUAGAUUAUUGCAAAUAUUAAUCUUGAACGAGGAAUUCCUAGUAAGCGCAAGUCAACAGCUUGCGUUGAUUACGUCCCUGCCCUUUGUACACACCGCCCGUCGCUACUACUGAUUGGAUGUUUAAGCGAGGUUCUCGAACUGCUAGCGCCUUAGCUUCGGUGAGGUCGCAGUGUGGGAAGUGAACCUAGCUUUGGUGUCUAGAGGAAGUAAAAGUCGUAACA